CGGACUGUGGCGCAGCUUGGCAGCGCACUUGACUGGGGGUCAAGGGGUCGCAGGUUCAAAUCCUGUCAGUCCGA
rnacentral:tRNA from 1 species